GACGAACGCUGGCGGCAUGCCUAACACAUGCAAGUCGAACGAUACCUUCGGGUCUAGUGGCGCACGGGUGCUUAACGCGUGGGAACCUGCCCUUAGGUUCGGAAUAACUCCCCGAAAGGGGUGCUAAUACCGGAUAAUGUCUUCGGACCAAAGAUUUAUCGCCUUUGGAUGGGCCCGCGUUGGAUUAGCUAGUUGGUAGGGUAAAAGCCUACCAAGGCGACGAUCCAUAGCUGGUCUGAGAGGAUGAUCAGCCACACUGGGACUGAGACACGGCCCAGACUCCUACGGGAGGCAGCAGUGGGGAAUAUUGGACAAUGGGCGAAAGCCUGAUCCAGCAAUGCCGCGUGAGUGAUGAAGGCCUUAGGGUUGUAAAGCUCUUUUACCCGGGAUGAUAAUGACAGUACCGGGAGAAUAAGCUCCGGCUAACUACGUG
rnacentral:rRNA from 1 species